rnacentral:rRNA from 1 species
UACGUAGGGGGCAAGCGUUGUCCGGAAUCAUUGGGCGUAAAGCGCGUGUAGGCGGCUCGAUAAGUCUGCUGUGAAAGUCCAGGGCCCAACCCUGGGAUGCCGGUGGAUACUGUCGAGCUUGAGUCCGGAAGAGGCGAGUGGAAUUCCUGGUGUAGCGGUGAAAUGCGCAGAUAUCAGGAGGAACACCUAUGGCGAAGGCAGCUCGCUGGGACGUGACUGACGCUGAGACGCGAAAGCGUGGGGAGCAAACAGG